GGCCUGGCUGGUCGGUCCGCCUAACCGCGUGCACUGAUUCGGCCGGGUCUUUCCUUCUGGCUAACCCCAUGCCCUUCACUGGGUGUGGCGGGGAUCCAGGACUUUUACUUUGAAAAAAUUAGAGUGUUCAAAGCAGGCCUAUACACGGUGCCUUGAAUACAUUAGCAUGGGAUAAUGGAA
rnacentral:rRNA from 1 species